CCUACGGGUGGCAGCAGUGGGGAAUAUUGCACAAUGGGGGAAACCCUGAUGCAGCGACGCCGCGUGAGCGAUGAAGUAUUUCGGUAUGUAAAGCUCUAUCAGCAGGGAAGAAAAUGACGGUACCUGACUAAGAAGCCCCGGCUAACUACGUGCCAGCAGCCGCGGUAAUACGUAGGGGGCAAGCGUUAUCCGGAUUUACUGGGUGUAAAGGGAGCGUAGACGGCUUGGCAAGCCAGAUGUGAAAGUUUGGGGCUCAACCUCAGGACUGCAUUUGGAACUGUCAUGCUUGAGUGUCGGAGAGGUAGGUGGAAUUCGUGGUGUAGCGGUGAAAUGCGUAGAUAUUAGGAGGAACACCAGUGGCGAAGGCAGCCUGCUGGACGAUGACUGACGUUGAGGCUCGAAAGCGUGGGGAGCAAACAGGAUUAGAUACCCUAGUAGUC
rnacentral:rRNA from 1 species